UCGGGAAUUUUGGGCAAUGGGCGAAAGCCUGACCCAGCAACGCCGCGUGAAGGAUGAAGUAUUUCGGUAUGUAAACUUCGAAAGAAUAGGAAGAAUAAAUGACGGUACUAUUUAUAAGGUCCGGCUAACUACGUGCCAGCAGCCGCGGUAAUACGUAGGGACCAAGCGUUGUUCGGAUUUACUGGGCGUAAAGGGCGCGUAGGCGGCAAUUCAAGUCAUCUGUGAAAUCUCCGGGCUUAACUCGGAACGGUCAGAUGAUACUGCUUUGCUAGAGUGCAGAAGGGGCAAUCGGAAUUCUUGGUGUAGCGGUGAAAUGCGUAGAUAUCAAGAGGAACACCUGAGGUGAAGACGGGUUGCUGGGCUGACACUGACGCUGAGGCGCGAAAGCCAGGGGAGCAAACGGGAUUAGAUACCCUCCUGAGCGGGCUGGCAAGGCGCAU
rnacentral:rRNA from 1 species